rnacentral:lncRNA from 12 species
CCCCCCCCCCCCCCCCCCCCCCCCCCCCCCCCCCCCCCCCCCCCCCCCCCCCCCCCCCCCCCGGGUCCGACACCGCCUGCACCACGGCGCUUCGUCCCCGGCUUAUCGAUCGGCCUUCCCCGGGGAGCGGCCGCGGCGGAGCUCCGGGAGACCGCGGGGGAAGGAGCAGCCGCAGGACUCGCCCGCGUCGGGCCCGCCGCUCGCAGCCGGCGCGGGAGCGCCUCGGAGGAUCCCCGUGGAUGGUGCCGCACCAGGUUUGCGGGUAAAAUCGUCUGCAGGCACCUUGGCUUUGACUGGCCUAAACACGACCAGACUUCCGGAAUAUCAGAAUUUGAACACAAGCAGCCGUCAUAAUCCCUAAGGAUAAAAUACAGGGGGAAAAGAAAUUACUGUGCCUUUACAUAUAUUGCGGUUGAUACAAAAACAGUCAUGAAAUUUGGUGAGAUUCUGCUGUGAGAUAGACUUGGGAUCACACUGGUAGCGAUUUGCUUUCCAACACCUCUGCAAGUUAAGUGCAGGGUGUCUCUAAGAGUGUAGCGAUAAUUAGAGGAGAUGGCAUUUUGUGUGUUGGAAAUCACAUGGAAAUGAAAAAUCACUGUUAAAAUGACAAGCAUAGUGGUAAGACUCAAAAACAUGCACCAGAGUUCAAAUGUCUUUCUAAAAGAAGCUCAAGUGGAUGUGCAUAAAGUAAAGAAAAAGGGAUAUGCAAGUGAUUUAAAUCUAUUAAAGCAGAUGUAUAACAUAUUUUUUGCGUUUCAUUAGUAUUUUGUAAUUUUCUGUGUGAGAAACCCUACAUUGUCUCAGUCCCUUUCCUGAGCUGAUCAUACAGUGUAGCGUCACCAUGCUUAUUUUUAACAUCACUUUAAUUUCUGUGGUAAUAGAGGAUGAUCUCACUGGAGGGAGGCAAAGUAGUAAGUUUCUCAUGGACCAUCUACAGAAAAGACCAAAAAAAGUACUGUCUUAAAACCUUCAUUUUGAUUUGACUUUCUUGCAGAAGGACUCACCUGCUGAUUUUCUGGACUUUGUGGAUAAUUGUCAUUAAAAACAUCUUGGGCUGUUUUGGUUUGCCCUAGUUGGUGGGAGGAGUCUUUUAUUCAUUCUUGAGUAGAGAGUUUGUGUAGAACUUUCUGAAAUGUGGUAUGUCCCAGGUCUGUAUGAGAUCUCUAUUAAAGUGUUGCUGUUAAAGAGGAUUUUUUCUAUCAUUUGUACAUUUUUCUAUGAUUAAGUGUUGAUAUUUUCAUGCUGCUAGUACUUUUGAUAGCAUAGACUGCACAUUUUUCUUUAAUGAUGAACCAAAAUGCAUGUCUCCUUGAGAGCAGGCGUGCAUUUUUGUCACUUGAAAGAGCAAUUGUUUGCUUGACUGAAAAGCAGUGUACAGUGCAGUUAAAAUAGGCAGUGGUACAGGAUGACACAGUAGCAAUUCUGAGUUCAGCAUUGUUAAUGGAUUGCUAAACAGUCAGGUUAUAUACAGUUUCAUUAUAAACCUUCAAUUAGUAGCCAGAAAAUAAAAGUUAUGUUUGAACUUUUGCUAUGAAAUGACUGCAGCUAUAAAAUGAACGAUUGUUUAUUAAUAUGCCUUGAUGAAAUUAUUACUGAAGCUAGUAUAAAGCUUGCUCUAUUAAUAAUGAGUUUCAGCUAAAAACAAGUAAAUGAAUGAAUGAAGUAUCACUGGAUCUGCCUUUGAAUAUUUUUUUCUCUUCACUGUUGUUGUUUUAUACAGUAGGUUAGUGUAAAUCCCUUAUCAUAUGUAAUUGAACUUGCUGAUUUACCGUCUCCCUUUUCUCUGGAAAUCUCUCUACAACUCUUUUGGUCAAUUAAGGCGUUCCAUGGGUGGGCACUUCUUAGUUCUUUUUGGAGUUACUGUCACCUAAGAAAUUAUUUCUAGGAUGAAUCUGUAAAUCAGUUAAAUUGAAUAUUUUGAACAAUGUCAGCUUCCAACAAUAAUAUGUGUACAGUUUUAAAGAGAUUUUGUAACAACUCCUGUGAGAG